CCUGACCGAUGACACUUCCGCAAAGACAUACAAAAUAAACAAACUUUUGAAAACUAAACCGAAGGAAGUUUAGUUUUUGGAUCAGAUGUUCACUUCCAAGAGUCCGUGGCUCAGCAAAGAUGGCUGGUGGAAGUGAUAUCUUACAAGAAGUCCGCAUAACCCUAGAUGACCUAGGAUACCGAGAACCGCUUCCACCC
rnacentral:lncRNA from 1 species